rnacentral:rRNA from 1 species
CACGUGGGCAACCUGCCUCAUAGAGGGGAAUAGCCUUCCGAAAGGAAGAUUAAUACCGCAUAACAUUGUUGAAAGGCAUCUUUUAACAAUCAAAGGAGCAAUCCGCUAUGAGAUGGGCCCGCGGCGCAUUAGCUAGUUGGUGAGGUAACGGCUCACCAAGGCGACGAUGCGUAGCCGACCUGAGAGGGUGAUCGGCCACAUUGGAACUGAGACACGGUCCAGACUCCUACGGGAGGCAGCAGUGGGGAAUAUUGCACAAUGGGGGAAACCCUGAUGCAGCAACGCCGCGUGAGUGAUGAAGGUCUUCGGAUUGUAAAGCUCUGUCUUUAGGGACGAUAAUGACGGUACCUAAGGAGGAAGCCACGGCUAACUACGUGCCAGCAGCCGCGGUAAUACGUAGGUGGCAAGCGUUAUCCGGAUUUACUGGGCGUAAAGGGAGCGUAGGCGGAUAUUUAAGUGGGAUGUGAAAUACCCGAGCUUAACUUGGGAGCUGCAUUCCAAACUGGAUAUCUAGAGUGCAGGAGAGGAGAAUGGAAUUCCUAGUGUAGCGGUGAAAUGCGUAGAGAUUAGGAAGAACACCAGUGGCGAAGGCGAUUCUCUGGACUGUAACUGACGCUGAGGCUCGAAAAGCGUGGGGAGCAAACAGGAUUAAAUACCCUGGUAGUCCACGCCCGUAAAACGAUGAAUACUAGGUGUAGGGGCCCCAAGCCUCUGUGCC